rnacentral:lncRNA from 1 species
GACCACAAAAAAUUAAGCAGGGAUGGAGGAAGGGACGAUAUGAAAAUUUGAAAUACGUAAAUAUGAAGGGGGAUAAGUAAAUUUGUAUCUAAUGUAGGAGUAAGCUAUAGAGGAUAUAAUACUUUUGUAGGUAGGAGAUCCUGAUUCUACAAGUGUGAAAGACUCUGUUAUAAAGUCGCUCCUAGAAAAACUCUGUUAUUCCUCUACGAAAAAGAAAAAAGUUUAGUAUGAGUCUACAAAGUCAAAAGGAAAAAUAUCACUACCAUAUCUUCACAGAGUAUGCUCACUGCCUAGUACUGAUGUGUCUGUACAUAAUAAUAAUAUAAUGGGAUGGUAGUGUAAGACAUUGUACCAACUAACCUAGCUGGUAGCUCUAAAAUGAU